UCUUGGCCAAUGGGCGCAAGCCUGAUCCAGCCAUGCCGCGUGAGUGAAGAAGGCCUAGGGUUGUAAAACUCUUUCGCCGGAGAAGAUAAUGACGGUAUCCGGAGAAGAAGCCCCGGCUAACUUCGUGCCAGCAGCCGCGGUAAUACGAAGGGGGCUAGCGUUGUUCGGAAUUACUGGGCGUAAAGCGCACGUAGGCGGGUCUGUAAGUAGGGGGUGAAAUCCCAGGGCUCAACCCUGGAACUGCCUUCUAGACUGCAGGCCUGGAGGUCAGGAGAGGCGAGCGGAAUUCCGAGUGUAGAGGUGAAAAUCGUAGAUAUUCGGAGGAACACCAGUGGCGAAGGCGGCUCGCUGGACUGAUACUGACGCUGAGGUGCGAAAGCGUGGGGAGCAAACAGG
rnacentral:rRNA from 1 species